GAUGAACGCUGGCGGCGUGCCUAAUACAUGCAAGUCGAGCGAACAGACGAGGAGCUUGCUCCUCUGACGUUAGCGGCGGACGGGUGAGUAACACGUGGAUAACCUACCUAUAAGACUGGGAUAACUUCGGGAAACCGGAGCUAAUACCGGAUAAUAUAUUGAACCGCAUGGUUCAAUAGUGAAAGACGGUUUUGCUGUCACUUAUAGAUGGAUCCGCGCCGCAUUAGCUAUUUGGUAAGGUAACGGCUUACCAAGGCAACGAUGCGUAGCCGACCUGAGAGGGUGAUCGGCCACACUGGAACUGAGACACGGUCCAGACUCCUACGGGAGGCAGCAGUAGGGAAUCUUCCGCAAUGGGCGAAAGCUUGCCGGAGCAACGCCGCGUGAGUGAUGAAGGUCUUCGGAUCGUAAAACUCUGUUAUUAGGGAAGAACAAAUGUGUAAGUAACUAUGCACGUCUUGACGGUACCUAAUCAGAAAGCCACGGCUAACUACGUG
rnacentral:rRNA from 1 species